CAAACCGCCAUUGCCCAUGCAAAACAGUGUAGUAGACAACUUUACAACCAUGUCUUCUUUCCUUGUAUUUAACUGAAGAUGACCUGGUAAAACAAGAAAACAGAAACUCCCAAACAGAUUUUGAAAGCAUGGUGUAAGAGUUUCAGGUGUAUGCAGUGAUCUUUUCUUGCUGAGAUCUCAGCCUUUUUUGACAGACAAUCCAUAAGAAUAAGACCAAGUAUGAAAAUCCACGUGGCACUUCUGUGAUGAAGCUCAGAAACUGAAUGAAAAUUCAAGAAAUGAAAGUUCUCAUGAACAGGUGAAGGGUAAGGUGAUGUCCAGGAAUGUCUUUGCUUCCUGGAUGAAUAAGGAAACAGAGAAAAGGUCUGAAACCACAAGAAAAUUGAUUUAAAAAACAAACAAACAGACAAACAAACAAAAAAAACUUGUGACAGUUCUGUCACAAUUCACAAAGAAACCAAACUGCAGAAAACAUUUGCCCCUAAAAAAAUAUUGUGUUAAUUUGACUUGGGAUAUCUGUAGAAAUGAUUGGAAUAAUAAUGCAAUGUCAAAUUAUCCUGGGGGAAUUUCUAUACCAGCUCUGCUGAAAACUUCUGUCAGAUCAUUAGAGGUUUUCAAAGACAAAUCUGACCUCUAUGCCUUAUACUGCAGUGCUAUAGAAAGCAAACUAGCUAGGCAAAACCAGAGUAGUACUUCAGAGCGAUACAUUUUGUACCCUCAUAAGCAGUGCAUUUUUCAUCAGGUGAG
ensembl:lncRNA